UACGGGGGGGGCAAGCGUUGUUCGGAAUUACUGGGCGUAAAGGGCUCGUAGGUGGCCAACUAAGUCAGACGUGAAAUCCCUCGGCUUAACCGGGGAACUGCGUCUGAUACUGGAUGGCUUGAGUUCGGGAGAGGGAUGCGGAAUUCCAGGUGUAGCGGUGAAAUGCGUAGAUAUCUGGAGGAAUACCGGUGGCGAAGGCGGCAUCCUGGACCAUUACUGACGCUGAGGCGCGAAAGCUAGGGGAGCAAACGGG
rnacentral:rRNA from 1 species